GAUUACUGGUGAUGGCCUGAAGAUGGACCUAGCUACUUUUGGAAGUUUAUCUUCAGCUUCAGUCGCCCCUGAGUGAAUUCUUUUGUUUCCAGGGUCUCUGGAAGAAGGUCUAUUGUCUCCAUACAUCUGAUGAAAAUUUAUGAAUAUAAAAGCUUGGAGAAAAAACUGUUGGAGUCAGAUGGAGGCAGAUCAAAGCAUACUAUUUUUCACAUCAGUGUAUUUAUGAUUUUAUUUGGGGGUUUUGGCUUUGUAUGAGUGAACUCUUCCAUCAAUGACCAACAUGGAAGCAUGUUUUGCUUGAUAAUAAAAAAUAAAAUUUGAAAAACCA
rnacentral:lncRNA from 1 species